AUGCAGCGGCGGGGACCUUGGCCGGUGGAGGAUGCGGAGGUGGAAGUGGAGCGGAUGGUGCUCCCCAGGAGCUCCGCCACGCGAGGUUUCGGGCUCGCGGUUUUGCUUCCUCCGGGUCCCCGCUCCAGAGCAGCUCGGCGAGAUGAAGACGCCGGGGACAGCGCCGCGGGGAGGGCGCUCCGGGCCGUAAGCGCUGCACCCACAAAGAGCAGCAGUCCCGCCGCCCCGCGCCUCCGCUGCGUGGGGGCCGAGGGCCGCUUCUGGGCUCCCCUUUCCGGUCCCCCGGCGAGUUGGAGAUUGUUCUCCGGCCUCGGCCGCAAGGGGGUGAGGCGAGGGGCCGGCGCGGCCGCUCCCGCCGCGGCUCCGUCCCGCGCAGCUGCCACAGCAGCCGCCCCUACUGCCCGCGCACCGGCACCCGCCCGCCGGUCCUCGCCCUGCGCCGCACACUCGCGCGCGCCGCCCUCCGUCGUCGACCGCGCACCCCGUUCGGCCUCCGCUGCGCGACCUGGGCGAGCCGCCGCCGCUCUCGCCGCACGCGCUGCCUGGCUGCGCGGCCCGCUCCCCUCUCCUAUCUCUCCCGCCGCCGCCGCCCUCGUCUCCCGCCCCCGCCUCCCUCCGCCGCCGAGCUUCCCCGCCCGCGUCGCGGCCAAUCGGAGGCCACCAAGCUGCGGCUGUAGCCGGCCGGAUCCGCGGCAGCCGCCCGCCCCCGCCCCGCCGAAGCGCCCGUCGGAGUUUCACUCUUGUUACCCAGGCUGGAGUGCAAUGGCGCUCACCACAACCUCCGCCUCCUGGGUUCAGGCAAUUCUCCUGCCUCAGCCUCCUGAGUAGCUGGGAUUACAGACUGGCAACUUGACAAGCCUUUGGUCCAGUGUGGACAUGCUUGGAGCAAAGAAGACUGAAGGACAAGUAUGCGCCAUCCUUUCGUAGCUCUUUGGGAGGCCAGAAUGUGACUAUCAUGGAGCCCUUCGAUUUUAACAGAGAUCCUUUCUCUAUAACUAAUUCAACGCAUGGCUAUAUGGGUAAUUUUGAACAAGUGGAUCUUUCUCCAACCUGAAAGGCUGCCAGGACAAAGAGGGAGUGAGAAAAAGAGGGUAUCAAAAGGAGUCAUAGAGAACCACAAAAUAAUCACGAAGCAUUUCUGUAUUGCCACAAUCUCCUUACAGAAGUGCAUUGAGAGGUGGUGAUAUGGAACAGAGAGGACACAUCAUUGCAAUAAAAUACUCCAUAAUACCUGGGACAAGAGUUGGAAAUGAUUUUGUCAUCAAAUAGAACACCAAAACUGUAGGAAGUAGGACUAUGUCUGCUGGUAAGGAAUUUUUCAAGAAUUAUUAUAGCUCCCCUCAUUUUUCAAAUAUUCACAUCGCAGUGUAAUAUGAAAUAUUAGAAAUAUAAGACUAAAAAUAUAAAGUAGAAACUGCCAUUUCAACUGUUAUAUAUCACAUUUAAUGAAAAAAGCCUUUCAGUCAAAUAUUGUACAAGUGCAUAAAUUAUGAUUAGUUACUGUGAAUUUAGAUAUGACUAUUUUAUUGAAUCCAAUGUGUCAGAAUAACUUAUUAAAGAGGGCUCAAUCUAUCAGACCUGUGAAAUCCUCACAAAUGGAAUAUAUUCUGAGUUAUAGCAUAGUAGUAAUACUGCAGUAAGUGGAAGGAAGUUUUGAUUUUGCAAAUGGCAAUGGAAAUCCUUUCAUAGUACCCAUUAAAUGAAAACAAUCUCAAUAAAUUAAAACAGUUUAAAAUAUGUAGUAUAUCUGUUAAGUUUCAGUUAAUAAGAAAACCAAACAAGUAAUAACUGGGAAUAUGGCAAGGAGUGAUUCCUGGGAGUAAAAUAGAAACCUUAUUUAUGACAGGGCCAUGUGAGACACAGGGUAACUUGUUUCUGAGUCCAGACAUGUGGUUCUACAUUGCUUAAAUAUUCCUUAUCAGAGAGAAAAUUGAUACUAGAUCCUGGAGCCUGGCUGAGCCCACAAAUGGGGAUCCAGUGGGGGUACAUUGCCAGGAGAUGGACUUCUAUGGCAAAAGCUCUACUAAUUUAAUAUGUGUCUCUUUAUGAUGUCAGUUAGGCUGUGUCAUGGGAGUAAGUGAUAUGUUAGAAAUAAGGUUUAAUACAAGAGGCAAGACCAGGUCUGGGAUGGUUUGGAAUUCAUUAAUUCAUUUUCAAGCUUUGUACAUAUAGAUGAAAAUAUGGAUUUUAGAGUAAAAAAUUAUCUACACAUUAAGUUGAAAAGAGACACCUAUUGAAAGAACCCAAAGAGGAAAAUCAUGUUAGAGGGGCAUUUUAUGAGAAUUUUUUAGUUGUAGAAUGAUUUUGGUGAUUAGAAUUAGGGAGUACACUCAGAAAACUUAUGGUGUUUCCCAUUCAGGUGUGGCAUGAUAAUAUCUUGAAAUUUUAACUAAUGUGUUUGCUUUUCUACACAUCCUUCUUCGUCUUUCUCUAUUCAGUCAGAGGUUUUCAGGAAAAUUAGGAUGAUUAAGACAGGAUUGCAAAGAACCAGUCAAUGAUAAAUUUUUGAGAUGUAAAACAGAUUUUGAAACUUGUUAAGAGUCAGUAUUCUUAAAAGUUAAUGGGGUUUCAAUGACAAACAUGGUUAUUCUUAGAGAGAAAAAAAGAUUUACACAAAUAUGCAGGGGCCUUUUCAAAAGUGGUAGGUUUACAAGUCU